ensembl:lncRNA
AUUUGGGCUGCCGUUUGCCAGACGGAGAGAACGAGUCCCAGGGAAUGGAAGCGAUUUGCCCAACACUUGGUAGCUUCUAAGAGUAGAGCAGGGCUGGGACCUACAUCCCCUGACUGCUGCACAGGAAUCCUGUCUCUAGUCCAAGACAGAACAACCCGUCUUCUAACCCAAGAUGCUGGUCACACGGGAGGGUGGAGGUUGGGAGAGCUGGGUGGGAGGAAAAGGGAGGGGACCUACUCCAGAGGGUAAGACCUUCUAAGUGAGGCGGUGCCUUAACUUUGAAGCUCAGCAAAACCACAGAGGGAGGUGUCAUCGGGCCCCACCUUUCUUUCCAGCUUCAUCUCCUGCCACACUCAGCAUCUCCUUCCCAUCCCCCUCUUCUGACCACACAACCACCAAGCUACUGCUCCCACCUCAACAAGCUUUGCUUGGACCCAGCGCACGCUCUUUCAACAUCUGUGCCUUUACCCAUGGUGCUCCAGGGCUGCCUAGUACAGCUGUGCAAGUUGGACACAGCACAAGGGUGCCACAUGCACGUUGUAGACGUCGCAGAUUUAUACCAAUAAUUUCUGGCAGAUGGCAGUAAAACGUCUCGAGGAGAAAGAUCCCAGUUUGGUGCAAACGUGUCUUUCAUACCUCUCUCCAGAGCUUGCUCAUCGCUCAUCUUGACAAAGAGCAAGGCAGGCUGACAGCCUUGAUGAGGCAGUGGUGUCUGCUGAGCAUUCAAUACUUGGCCUUCUGUAAAUUGUAUUUAUUUAUACGAUUGCUUUCUAUCUAUGGCAUAUGAUGCUGACUUUCCGCUUCCUGUAGCGUUAUAAAGUUUUAUGUACAAAUCAA